GACGAACGCUGGCGGCGUGCUUAACACAUGCAAGUCGAACGGUAAGGCCCUUCGGGUACGACGAGUGGCGAACGGGUGGAGUAACACGUGGUGAUCUGCCCUGCACUUCGGGAUAAGCCUGGGAAACUGGGUCUAAUACCGGAUAGGACCAUGGACUUCACGGUUUGUGGUGGAAAGCUUUUGCGGUGUGGGAUGGGCCCGCGGCCUAUCAGCUUGUUGGUGGGGUAAUGGCCUACCCAAGGCGACGACGGGUAGCCGGCCUGAGAGGGUGUCCGGCCACACUGGGACUGAGAUACGGCCCAGACUCCUACGGGAGGCAGCAGUGGGGAAUAUUGCACAAUGGGCGCAAGCCUGAUGCAGCGACGCCGCGUGAGGGAUGACGGCCUUCGGUUGUAACCUACUUCUAUAAGGGACGAAGCGCAAGUGACGGUACCUAUAGAAGAAGAC
rnacentral:rRNA from 1 species